AAGCAAUUUCUUUUUGGAUUUGUCCAGCAGGCUUUCUGCUGCAGCUGCAGAGAGCCACC
rnacentral:snRNA from 1 species